GGCUCAGGAUGAACGCUAGCGACAGGCCUAACACAUGCAAGUCGAGGGGCAGCACAAGGAGCAAUCUGAGGUGGCGACCGGCGCACGGGUGAGUAACACGUAUGCAACCUGCCUGUAAGCGGGGAAUAACCCGUUGAAAGACGGACUAAUACCGCAUAAUACUAAAUUACUGCAUGGUAAUUUAUUUAAACAUUUAUGGCUUACAAAUGGGCAUGCGCAUGAUUAGCUAGUUGGAGAGGUAACGGCUCCCCAAGGCAACGAUCAUUAGGGGUUCUGAGAGGAAGGUCCCCCACACUGGUACUGAGACACGGACCAGACUCCUACGGGAGGCAGCAGUGAGGAAUAUUGGUCAAUGGACGAGAGUCUGAACCAGCCAAGUCGCGUGCAGGAAGAAUGUCCCUAUGGAUUGUAAACUGCUUUUGCAGGGGAAUAAAGUGCAUCACGUGUGAUGUUUUGUAUGUACUCUGCGAAUAAGGAUCGGCUAACUCCGUGCCAGCCGCCGC
rnacentral:rRNA from 1 species